rnacentral:lncRNA from 1 species
CCCAACUUAAGAGCAUCAAUGGGGCAAGUCUGUUGUGCAGGUGGUGAUGGUACUAUUGUCGGCGGCGGUGGAGGGCAUGGUGAAGGUGGUGGUGGAGAUGGUUUCACGAUUGGUGGUGUAACAACCGGAGGAUUUGGCACGUAGGGUGGUGGUGUUACCACUGGAGGGUUGGGUACAAAAGGUGGUGAAACGACUGGGGGUGUUGGUGCUGGUGGUUUUGGAGUGAAAGGGGGUGAAACAACAGGUGGUUUUGGAAUGACUGGUGGUGAAACAACAGGCGGUGUUGGUGCUGGUGGUUUUGGAGUGAAAGGUGGUGAAACAACAGGUGGUUUUGGAAUGACUGGUGGUGAAACAACCGGUGGUGUUGGUGCUGGUGGUUUUGGAGUGACUGGGGGUGAAACAACAGGUGGUGUUGGUGAUGGUGGUUUAGGCACAUAAGGUGGACUGACAGUGGGAGGUGGAUGUACUACUGGUGGUUUUGGGACAUAUGGAGGUUUUACAUGAGGUGGCUUGACAUGUGGAGGUCGGGGUGGAGGGCACGGUUUUGGUGUAGGGUGUUUAGGGGUCUUAGGGGUGGAAGGUGGUUUUACAUGUGGGGGAUAUUUAGGGUGGGUGGGGGUGGAUGGUGGUUUUACAUGAGGGGGAUAUUUAGGGUGGGUGGGGGUGGAAGGUGGUUUUACAUGAGGAGGUUGUUUGGGGUGGUGGGGGGUAGAAGGUGGUUUUACCUUAGGAGAUGGAUGUUUGGGAGGCAAUUUUGGGUGUUUUGGGGUGGAAGGAGGAUAAGGGCAGUAAGGACAUGCAUGGGCAAUGAACAAAGUUCCAAGUUGGAGAAGGAACAAUAAGAUUCUAGCUACAUUGAACUUC